CCCUGCAUCCUUCACUGCAGCAUCCUUCAUCCCUGCAUCCUUCAUCCCUGCAUCCUUCAUCCCCGCAUCCUUCACCGCAGCAUCCUUCAUCCCCGCAUCCUUCACCGCAGCAUCCUUCACCACAGCAUCCUUCACCGCAGCAUCCUUCAUCCCCGCAUCCUUCACUGCAGCAUCCUUCACCACAGCAUCCUUCACCGCAGCAUCCUUCAUCCCCGCAUCCUUCACCGCAGCAUCCUUCAUCCCCGCAUCCUUCAUCCCCGCAUCCUUCAUCCCCGCAUCCUUCAUCCCCGCAUCCUUCACCGCAUCCUUCACUGCAGCAUCCUUCACCACAGCAUCCUUCACCACAGCAUCCUUCAUCCCCGCAUCCUUCAUCCCCGCAUCCUUCAUCCCCGCAUCCUUCAUCCCCGCAUCCUUCACCACAGCAUCCUUCACCACAGCAUCCUUCACCACAGCAUCCUUCACCGCAGCAUCCUUCAUCCCCGCAUCCUUCACCGCAGCAUCCUUCAUCCCCGCAUCCUUCAUCCCCGCAUCCUUCAUCCCCGCAUCCUUCAUCCCCGCAUCCUUCAUCCCUGCAUCCUUCACCCCCGCAUCCUUCACCACAGCAUCCUUCAUCCCUGCAUCCUUCAUCCCCGCAUCCUUCAUCCCUGCAUCCUUCACCGCAGCAUCCUUCACCGCAGCAUCCUUCAUCCCUGCAUCCUUCACUGCAGCAUCCUUCAUCCCUGCAUCCUUCACCGCAGCAUGCUUCAUCCCUGCAUCCUUCACCACAGCAUCCUUCACUGCAGCAUCCUUCAUCCCUGCAUCCUUCAUCCCCGCAUCCUUCACCACAGCAUCCUUCACCACAGCAUCCUUCACCACAGCAUCCUUCAUCCCCGCAUCCUUCAUCCCCGCAUCCUUCAUCCCCGCAUCCUUCACCACAGCAUCCUUCACCACAGCAUCCUUCAUCCCCGCAUCCUUCAUCCCUGCAUCCUUCACCGCAGCAUCCUUCACUGCAAAUAGCUCCUGCUCACUUUAUUGACUGCGGGGGGCCUCUGUG
rnacentral:lncRNA from 1 species